rnacentral:rRNA from 1 species
CCUACGGGAGGCAGCAGUGGGGAAUAUUGCACAAUGGGGGAAACCCUGAUGCAGCGACGCCGCGUGAGUGAAGAAGUAUUUCGGUAUGUAAAGCUCUAUCAGCAGGGAAGAUAAUAUCGGUACCUGUCUAAGAAGCCCCUGCUAACUACGUGCCAGCAGCCGCGGUAAGACGGCGGGCGAAAGCGUUAUCCGGAUUUACUGGGUGUAAAGGGUGUGUAGGUGGCAGGGCAAGUCAGAUGUGAAAGCCCGGGGCUCAACCCCGGAACUGCAUUUGAAACUGUCCGGCUGGAGUACAGGAGAGGUAAGCGGAAUUCCUGGUGUAGCGGUGAAAUGCGUAGAGAUUAGGAGGAACACCGGUGGCGAAGGCAGCUUAUUGGACUGUAACUGACACUGAGGCACGAAAGCGUGGGGAGCAAACAGGAUUAGAUACCCUAGUAGUC